GAUUAUGGCUCAGGAUGAACGCUGGCGGCGUGCCUAAUACAUGCAAGUCGAACGCAAUAUAGCAAUAUAUUGAGUGGCGAACGGGUGAGUAACACGUGGGCAACCUGCCUAGAGGUGGGGGAUAACCGAGGGAAACCUUGGCUAAUACCGCAUAGAGGGUACUAAGGCAUCUUAGUGCCAUGAAAGAUACAAUUGUAUCGCCUGUAGAUGGACCUGCGGCGCAUUAGCUAGUUGGUGAGGUAGUGGCUCACCAAGGCGACGAUGCGUAGCCGACCUGAGAGGGUGACCGGCCACAUUGGGACUGAGACACGGCCCAAACUCCUACGGGAGGCAGCAGUAGGGAAUUUUCGGCAAUGGGGGGAACCCUGACCGAGCGACGCCGCCGUGAACGAUGAAGGUCUUCGGAUUGUAAAGUUCUGUUACAGGGGACGAAAGGCUAUAAUAGUGGAAAGAUUAUAGUUUGACGGUACCUUGUUAGAAAGCCACGGCUAACUACGUGCCAGCAGCCGC
rnacentral:rRNA from 1 species